CCCCCAGACUCCUACGGGAGGCAGCAGUGGGGAAUAUUGGGCAAUGGGCGCAAGCCUGACCCAGCAACGCCGCGUGAAGGAAGAAGGCCUUCGGGUUGUAAACUUCUUUUCUCAGGGACGAAGAAAGUGACGGUACCUGAGGAAUAAGCCACGGCUAACUACGUGCCAGCAGCCGCGGUAAUACGUAGGUGGCAAGCGUUAUCCGGAUUUACUGGGUGUAAAGGGCGUGUAGGCGGGGAAGCAAGUCAGAUGUGAGAGCCACGGGCUCAACCUGUGGCCUGCAUUUGAAACUGUUUUUCUUGAGUACUGGAGAGGCAGGCGGAAUUCCGUGUGUAGCGGUGAAAUGCGUAGAUAUACGGAGGAACACCGGCGGCGGAGGCGGCCUGCUGGACCGCGACUGACGUUGAG
rnacentral:rRNA from 1 species